UGGCCCGUUGGUCAAGUGGUUAAGACACCGCCCUUUCACGGCGGUAACAUGAGUUCAAAUCUCGUACGGGUCAUUUA
rnacentral:tRNA from 1 species